AUUGAACGCUGGCGGCAUGCUUUACACAUGCAAGUCGGACGGGAUUGAGAAGCUUGCUUUUCAUGAGAGUGGCGCACGGGUGCGUAACACGUAUGUAACCUACCCAUAUCAGGGGGAUAGCCUCUCGAAAGAGAGAUUAAGACCGCAUAACAUUAUUGAAUGGCAUCAUUUAAUAAUCAAAUAUUUAUAGGAUAUGGAUGGGCAUGCGGAACAUUAGCUAGUUGGUAAGGUAACGGCUUACCAAGGCUACGAUGUUUAGGGGAUCUGAGAGGAGGACCCCCCACACUGGUACUGAGACACGGACCAGACUCCUACGGGAGGCAGCAGUAAGGAAUAUUGGUCAAUGGACGGAAGUCUGAACCAGCCAUGCCGCGUGCAGGAAGACGGCCCUAUGGGUUGUAAACUGCUUUUGCAGGGGAAUAAACCUCGAUACGUGUAUCGAGCUGAAUGUACUCUGAGAAUAAGGAUCGGCUAACUCCGUGCCAGCCGCCGCCGUAA
rnacentral:rRNA from 1 species